rnacentral:rRNA from 1 species
UGGGGAAUUUUGGACAAUGGGCGAAAGCCUGAUCCAGCAAUGCCGCGUGUGUGAAGAAGGCCUUCGGGUUGUAAAGCACUUUUGUCCGGAAAGAAAUCCUUGGCUCUAAUACAGUCGGGGGAUGACGGUACCGGAAGAAUAAGCACCGGCUAACUACGUGCCAGCAGCCGCGGUAAUACGUAGGGUGCAAGCGUUAAUCGGAAUUACUGGGCGUAAAGCGUGCGCAGGCGGUUUUGUAAGACGGAUGUGAAAUCCCCGGGCUUAACCUGGGAACUGCAUUCGUGACUGCAAGGCUAGAGUAUGGCAGAGGGGGGUAGAAUUCCACGUGUAGUAGUGAAAUGCGUAGAGAUGUGGAGGAAUACCGAUGGCGAAGGCAGCCCCCUGGGCCAAUACUGACGCUNAUGCACG